GGGUCCAUAGCUCAGCUUGGUUAGAGCGUUCGGCUGAUAACCGAAAGAUCGCCAGUUCAAAUCCGGCUGGACCCA
rnacentral:tRNA from 1 species